CUCUAGAGAUAGAGCUUCCCCUUCGGGGGCAAAGUGACAGGUGGUGCAUGGUUGUCGUCAGCUCGUGUCGUGAGAUGUUGGGUUAAGUCCCGCAACGAGCGCAACCCUUAUUGUUAGUUGCCAUCAUUUAGUUGGGCACUCUAGCAAGACUGCCGGUGACAAACCGGAGGAAGGUGGGGAUGACGUCAAAUCAUCAUGCCCCUUAUGACCUGGGCUACACACGUGCUACAAUGGGAAGUACAACGAGUCGCGAAGUCGCGAGGCUAAGCUAAUCUCUUAAAGCUUCUCUCAGUUCGGAUUGUAGGCUGCAACUCGCCUACAUGAAGCCGGAAUCGCUAGUAAUCGCGGAUCAGCACGCCGCGGUGAAUACGUUCCCGGGCCUUGUACACACCGCCCGUCACACCACGAGAGUUUGUAACACCCGAAGUCGGUGAGGUAACCUUUUGGAGCCAGCCGCCUAAGGUGGGAUAGAUGAUUGGGGUGAAGUCGUAACAAGGUAGCCGUAUCGGAAGGUGCGGCUGGAUCACCUCCUUUCUAAGGAA
rnacentral:rRNA from 1 species